rnacentral:rRNA from 1 species
UACGUAGGGGGCUAGCGUUGUCCGGAUUUAUUGGGCGUAAAGAGCGUGUAGGCGGCCAGAUAGGUCUGCUGUGAAAACUCGAGGCUCAACCUCGAGAUGUCGGCGGAAACCAUUUGGCUAGAGUCCGGAAGAGGAAAGUGGAAUUCCUGGUGUAGCGGUGAAAUGCGCAGAUAUCAGGAAGAACACCCGUGGCGAAGGCGGCUUUCUGGGACGGUACUGACGCUGAGGCGCGAAAGCGUGGGGAGCAAACAGG